rnacentral:rRNA from 1 species
UACGGAGGAUGCAAGCGUUAUCCGGAUUCAUUGGGUUUAAAGGGUGCGUAGGCGGGCUAUUAAGUCAGUGGUGAAAUCCUGCAGCUUAACUGCAGAACUGCCAUUGAUACUGAUAGUCUUGAGUUUGGUUAAGGUAGGCGGAAUGUGUAAUGUAGCGGUGAAAUGCUUAGAUAUUACACAGAACACCAAUUGCGUAGGCAGCUUACUGAGCCGACACUGACGCUGAGGCACGAAAGCGUGGGGAUCGAACA